rnacentral:rRNA from 1 species
AGAGUUUGAUCCUGGCUCAGAACGAACGCUGGCGGCGCGUCUUAAACAUGCAAGUCGAACGGCAAAAGAGGGGCUUGCCCCUUUUUGAGAGUGGCGGACUGGUGAGUAACACGUGGGUGACAUACCUUUUAGUUGGGGAUAGCUAUUAGAAAUAGUAGGUAAUACCGAAUGUGACCGUAUUUAUUAGAAGGAUACGAGGAAAGGAGCUAAGGCUUCGCUAAAAGAAUGGCUCGCGGCCCAUUAUGCUCGUUGGUGAGGUAACGGCCCACCAAGGCGAUGAUGGGUAUCCGGCCUGAGAGGGUGAACGGACACAUUGGGACUGAGAUACGGCCCAAACUCCUACGGGAGGCAGCAGCUAAGAAUAUUCCGCAAUGGACGAAAGUCUGACGGAGCGACGCCGCGUGGAUGAAGAAUGCCGAAAGGUUGUAAAAUCCUUUUAAGCCUGAUGAAUAAGCACAAUAGGGAAUGAUUGUGCGGUGACCGUAGGGCUUGAAUAAGCACCGGCUAAUUACGUGCCAGCAGCCGCGGUAACACGUAAGGUGCGAGCGUUGUUCGGAAUUAUUGGGCGUAAAGGGCAUGUAGGCGGAUAGGCAAGCUUGGUGUGAAAUGUUACAGCUUAACUGUGAGACAGCAUUGAGAACUGCCGAUCUUGAAUUACUGAAGGGUAACCAGAAUUCCACGUGUAGGGGUGAAAUCUGUAGAUAUGUGGAAGAAUACCAAUGGCGAAGGCAGGUUACCGGCAGAUAAUUGACGCUGAGGUGCGAAAGUGCGGGGAGCGAACAGGAUUAGAUACCCUGGUAGUCCGCACCGUAAACGAUGUACACUAGGUGUCUGGCAUAACAGCUGGGUGCCAAAGCAAACGUGAUAAGUGUACCGCCUGGGGAGUAUGCCCGCAAGGGUGAAACUCAAAGGAAUUGA